CACGUAGGUGGCAUCGUAAGUCAAAGGUGAAAGCCCUCGGCUCAACCGAGGAAUUGCCUUUGAAACUGCCUUGCUUGAGUCCGGGAGGGGGGAGCGGAAUUCCCAGUGUAGCGGUGAAAUGCGUAGAUACUGGGAGGAACACCGGUGGCGAAGGCGGCUCUCUGGACCGGUACUGACACUGAGGUGCGAAAGCGUGGGUAGCAAACA
rnacentral:rRNA from 1 species